CCUACGGGGGGCAACAGUGAGGAAUAUUGGUCAAUGGACGAGAGUCUGAACCAGCCAAGUAGCGUGAAGGAUGACUGCCCUAUGGGUUGUAAACUUCUUUUAUAUGGGAAUAAAAUGUUCCACGUGUGGGAUUUUGUAUGUACCAUAUGAAUAAGGAUCGGCUAACUCCGUGCCAGCAGCCGCGGUAAUACGGAGGAUCCGAGCGUUAGCCGGAUUUAUUGGGUUUAAAGGGAGCGUAGGUGGAUUGUUAAGUCAGUUGUGAAAGUUUGCGGCUCAACCGUAAAAUUGCAGUUGAAACUGGCAGUCUUGAGUACAGUAGAGGUGGGCGGAAUUCGUGGUGUAGCGGUGAAAUGCUUAGAUAUCACGAAGAACUCCGAUUGCGAAGGCAGUUCACUGGACUGCAACUGACACUGAGGCUCGAAAGUGUGGGUAUCAAACAGGAUUAGAUACCCUUGUAGUC
rnacentral:rRNA from 1 species